rnacentral:rRNA from 1 species
GUCGAACGGUAAGGCCCUUCGGGGUACACGAGUGGCGAACGGGUGAGUAACACGUGGGUAAUCUGCCCUGCACUUCGGGAUAAGCCUGGGAAACUGGGUCUAAUACCGGAUAUUCAGCUUCUGCCGCAUGGUGGUUGUUGGAAAGUUUUUCGGUGCAGGAUGUGCCCGCGGCCUAUCAGCUUGUUGGUGGGGUAAUGGCCUACCAAGGCGACGACGGGUAGCCGGCCUGAGAGGGUGAUCGGCCACAUUGGGACUGAGACACGGCCCAGACUCCUACGGGAGGCAGCAGUGGGGAAUAUUGCACAAUGGGCGCAAGCCUGAUGCAGCGACGCCGCGUGAGGGAUGACGGUCUUCGGAUUGUAAACCUCUUUCGGCAGGGACGAAGCGCAAGUGACGGUACCUGCAGAAGAAGCACCGGCCAACUACGUGCCAGCAGCCGCGGUAAUACGUAGGGUGCGAGCGUUGUCCGGAAUUACUGGGCGUAAAGAGCUCGUAGGCGGUUUGUCGCGUCGUCUGUGAAAUCCUACAGCUUAACUGUGGGCGUGCAGGCGAUACGGGCAGACUUGAGUACUACAGGGGAGACUGGAAUUCCUGG